rnacentral:rRNA from 1 species
UACGUAGGGUGCAAGCGUUAUCCGGAAUUAUUGGGCGUAAAGAGCUCGUAGGCGGUUUGUCGCGUCUGCUGUGAAAACUGGAGGCUCAACCUCCAGCCUGCAGUGGGUACGGGGCAGACUAGAGUGCGGUAGGGGAGAUUGGAAUUCCUGGUGUAGCGGUGGAAUGCGCAGAUAUCAGGAGGAACACCGAUGGCGAAGGCAGAUCUCUGGGCCGUAACUGACGCUGAGGAGCGAAAGCAUGGGGAGCGAACAGG